rnacentral:rRNA from 1 species
UUCAAUGGGGAGAAUGAGAGUUCUACCAUUGAACUGAAUGACUCCUUUGAUGAGACCAGCAUGCGUUUUGUGCGGCGCAUCCAGGAGUCUGAGGUGAAGGAGGCUUUAAAAAGGAUGAAAGGAGGCAAGGCGAUGGGCCCUGAUUGUAUCCCCAUUGAGGUGUGGAAAGGUCUCGGGGACAUAGCGAUAGUAUGGCUAACCAAGCUUUUCAACCUCAUUUUUCGGGCAAACAAGAUGCCAGAAGAAUGGAGACGGAGUAUAUUAGUACCAAUCUUCAAGAACAAGGGAGAUGUUCAGAGUUGUACUAAUUACCGUGGAAUUAAGUUGAUGAGCCAUACAAUGAAGCUAUGGGAGAGAGUCAUUGAGCACCGCUUAAGAAGAAUGACAAGCGUGACCAAAAAUCAGUUUGGUUUCAUGCCUGGGAGGUCGACCAUGGAAGCCAUUUUCUUGGUACGACAACUUAUGGAGAGAUAUAGGGAGCAUAAGAAGGACUUGCAUAUGGUGUUCAUUGACUUGGAGAAGGCCUAUGAUAAGAUACCGCGGAAUGUCAUGUGGUGGGCCUUGGAGAAACACAAAGUCCUAGCAAAGUACAUUACCCUCAUCAAGGACAUGUACAAUAAUGUUGUGACAAGUGUUCGAACAAGUGAUGUCGACACCGAUGACUUCCCGAUUAAGAUAGGACUGCAUCAGGGGUCAGCUUUGAGCCCUUAUCUUUUUGCAUUGGUGAUGGAUGAGGUCACAAGGGGUAUACAAGGAGAUAUCCCAUGGUGUAUGCUCUUUGCGGAUGAUGUGGUGCUAGUUGACGAUAGUCGGACGGGGGUAAAUAGGAAGUUAGAGUUAUGGAGACAAACCUUGGAAUCGAAAGGGUUUAGUCUUAGUAGAACUAAAACCGAGUACAUGAUGUGCGGUUUCAGUACUACUAGCUGUGAGGAGGAGGAGGUUAGCCUUGAUGGCCAGGUGGUACCUCGGAAGGACACCUUUCGGUAUUUGGGGUCAAUGUUGCAGGAGGAUGGGGGUAUUGAUGAAGAUGUGAACCAUCGAAUCAAAGCCGGAUGGAUGAAGUGGCGCCAAGCUUCUGGCAUUCUCUGUGACAAGAGAGUGCCACAAAAGCUAAAAGGCAAGUUCUACAGGACGGCGGUUCGACCCGCAAUGUUGUAUGGCGCGGAGUGUUGGCCGACUAAAAGGCGACAUGUUCAACAGUUAGGUGUGGCGGAGAUGCGUAUGUUGAGAUGGAUGUGUGGCCACACGAGGAAGGAUGGAGUCCGGAAUGAUGAUAUACGAGAUAGAGUUGGGGUAGCACCAAUUGAGGAGAAGCUUGUCCAACAUCGUUUGAGAUGGUUUGGGGAUAUUCAGCGCAGGCCUCCAGAAGCUCCAGUGCAUAGCGGACGGCUAAAGCGUGCGGAGAAUGUCAAGAGAGGGCGGGGUCGACCGAUUUUGACAUGGGAGGAGUCCGUUAAGAGAGACCUGAAGGAUUGGAGUAUCGACAAAGAGCUAGCUAUGGACAGGGGUGCGUGGAAGCUUGCUAUCCAUGUG